rnacentral:rRNA from 1 species
AGAGUUUGAUCAUGGCUCAGGAUGAACGCUAGCUACAGGCUUAACACAUGCAAGUCGAGGGGAAACGACAUCGAAAGCUUGCUUUUGAUGGGCGUCGACCGGCGCACGGGUGAGUAACGCGUAUCCAACCUGCCCACCACUUGGGGAUAACCUUGCGAAAGUAAGACUAAUACCCAAUGAUAUCUCUAGAAGACAUCUGAAAGAGAUUAAAGAUUUAUCGGUGAUGGAUGGGGAUGCGUCUGAUUAGCUUGUUGGCGGGGUAACGGCCCACCAAGGCAACGAUCAGUAGGGGUUCUGAGAGGAAGGUCCCCCACAUUGGAACUGAGACACGGUCCAAACUCCUACGGGAGGUAGCAGUGAGGAAUAUUGGUCAAUGGGCGAGAGCCUGAACCAGCCAAGUAGCGUGCAGGAAGACGGCCCUAUGGGUUGUAAACUGCUUUUAUAAGGGAAUAAAGUGAGUCUCGUGAGACUUUUUGCAUGUACCUUAUGAAUAAGGACCGGCUAAUUCCGUGCCAGCAGCCGCGGUAAUACGGAAGGUCCGGGCGUUAUCCGGAUUUAUUGGGUUUAAAGGGAGCGUAGGCCGGAGAUUAAGCGUGUUGUGAAAUGUAGACGCUCAACGUCUGCACUGCAGCGCGAACUGGUUUCCUUGAGUACGCACAAAGUGGGCGGAAUUCGUGGUGUAGCGGUGAAAUGCUUAGAUAUCACGAAGAACUCCGAUUGCGAAGGCAGCUCACUGGAGCGCAACUGACGCUGAAGCUCGAAAGUGCGGGUAUCGAACAGGAUUAGAUACCCUGGUAGUCCACGCCGUAAACGAUGAGUGCUAGGUGUUGGGUCCUUUCCGGGACUCAGUGCCGCAGCUAACGCAUUAAGCACUCCGCCUGGGGAGUACGACCGCAAGGUUGAAACUCAAAGGAAUUGACGGGGGCCCGCACAAGCGGUGGAGCAUGUGGUUUAAUUCGAAGCAACGCGAAGAACCUUACCAGGUCUUGACAUCCCUCUGACCGCUCUAGAGAUAGAGUUUUCCUUCGGGACAGAGGUGACAGGUGGUGCAUGGUUGUCGUCAGCUCGUGUCGUGAGAUGUUGGGUUAAGUCCCGCAACGAGCGCAACCCCUAUUGUUAGUUGCCAUCAUUGAGUUGGGCACUCUAGCGAGACUGCUGGUAAUAAACCGGAGGAAGGUGGGGAUGACGUCAAAUCAUCAUGCCCCUUAUGACCUGGGCUACACACGUGCUACAAUGGCUGGUACAACGAGUCGCGAGUCGGUGACGGCAAGCUAAUCUCUUAAAGCCAGUCUCAGUUCGGAUUGUAGGCUGCAACUCGCCUACAUGAAGUCGGAAUCGCUAGUAAUCGCGGAUCAGCACGCCGCGGUGAAUACGUUCCCGGGCCUUGUACACACCGCCCGUCACACCACGAGAGUUUGUAACACCCGAAGUCGGUGAGGUAACCAUUUGGAGCCAGCCGCCUAAGGUGGGAUAGAUGAUUGGGGUGAAGUCGUAACAAGGUA